AGAAGGGCACAUGAAGGAUGCCUUGGCUCUCGGAGGCGAAGAAGGACGUGACAAGCUGCGAAAAGCCGCGCUUAGGAGCAAAUAUCCCUUGAAGCGCGGAUGUCCGAAUGGGGCAACCCAUCAGGCUGCAGAGCCUGAUACCGACACAGUCGGGGCCAACCCGGGGAACUGAAACAUCUCAGUACCCGGAGGAAAAGAAAACAAAAGUGAUUGCGCAAGUAGUGGCGAGCGAACGCGCAACAGCCCAAACCGCAGGUGUAGCAAUGCAUGUUGCGGGGUUGUAGGACCGCCAACAAAGUGAAGACAGAAGUUAGGAGAACGGCUUGGAAAAGCCGGCCACAGAGGGUGAAAGCCCCGUAACCGAAAACGGAAGUCUGAGCGAGGCGGCACCUGAGUAGUGCGGAACACGUGAAAUUCUGCAUGAAUCCGCGGGGACCAUCCCGUAAGGCUAAAUACUACCGAGAGACCGAUAGCGAACCAGUACCGUGAGGGAAAGGUGAAAAGAACCCCGAACAGGGGAGUGAAACAGACCCUGAAAUCAUGUGCCUACAAGCGGUCGGAGCCACUACGUGUGGUGACGGCGUGCCUUUUGCAUAAUGAUCCUACGAGUUGCCAAGUGCGGCAAGGUUAAGUGCGAACAGACGCACGCAGCCGAAGCGAAAGCGAGUCAGAAUAUGGCGGCAUAGUCACACUGGGCAGACGCGAAACCAAGUGAUCUACCCUUGGGCAGGUUGAAGGACAGGUAACACUGUCUGGAGGACCGAACCGGUAAGCGUUGAAAAGCUUUCGGAUGACCUGAGGGUAGGAGUGAAAGGCCAAUCAAACUUGGAGAUAGCUCGUACUCCCCGAAAUGCAUUUAGGUGCAGCCUCGGGCGCAGUACCGUGGAGGUAGAGCGACUGAUAGGAUGCGAGGGCUUCACCGCCUAUCAAGUCCUGACAAACUCCGAAUGCCACGGCACGAUCCCCGGGAGUGAGGGCGCGGGUGCUAAGGUCCGCGUCCGAGAGAGGAACAACUCAGACCACCGGCUAAGGCCCCCAAAUACGGGCCGAGUUGAAGACAAUAACGCGGUGGGGUCGCAGAGACAGCUAGGAUGUUGGCUUGGAAGCAGCCAUUCAUUUAAAGAGUGCGUAACAGCUCACUAGUCGAGUGAUCCCGCAUGGAUAAUAAUCGGGCAUAAGUCCGUUGCCGAAGCCGUGGAAUCCGACGAUAGUCGGAUUGGUAGGGGAGCAUUCCGGCAGCCGCAGAAGGUGAGGCGCGAGCCUUGCUGGAGGAACCGGAAAAGCAAAUGUAGGAAUAAGUAACGAUAAGGAGGGCGAGAAACCCUCCCGCCGAAAGACCAAGGGUUCCUGAUCAACGCUAAUCGGAUCAGGGUAAGUCGGGGCCUAAGGAGGAGCCGCAAGGCGCAUCCGAUGGACAAACGGUCAAGAUUCCGUUACCCGGACAGGUAACGAUGCGGAGACGGAGAAGUGACACUUCCGCGCACUGACGGAAUAGUGCGUUGAAGCGCGUAGGUGUUGAGAGGUGCAGUAAAGUACACACCUUGAGCUGAAACGCGACAGUACGGCAAUCCCCCGGGGAGCGCCGAUAGCGAAGGUAACCAGGCUCCCAAGAAAAACCGCUAAGUAUAUACCGGUCCGGCCCGUACCGCAAACCGACACAGGUGGUCGGGUAGAAGAUACCAAGGCGCUCGAGAGAUUCACGGUUAAGGAACUAGGCAAAUUGACCCCGUAACUUCGGAAUAAGGGGUCCCGUCCUCCGGGACGGGCGCAGAGAAUAGGUCCAGGCAACUGUUUAACAAAAACACAGGGCUGUGCAAAGUUUAAAGACGACGUAUACAGCCUGACACCUGCCCGGUGCCGGAAGGUUAAGAGGAGACGUCAUCGCAAGAGAAGCGUUGAAUUGAAGCCCCGGUAAACGGCGGCCGUAACUAUAACGGUCCUAAGGUAGCGAAAUUCCUUGUCGGGUAAGUUCCGACCUGCACGAAUGGUGUAAUGAUCCGGACACUGUCUCAACCGUGAGCUCGGUGAAAUUGUAGUAUCGGUGAAGAUGCCGAUUACCCGCAACGGGACGAAAAGACCCCGUGAACCUUUACUACAGCUUAGCACUGUGACCGGGUGCGAGAUGUGUAGGAUAGUCAGGAGACUAUGAAGCAGGAACGCCAGUUUCUGUGGAGUCGACGUUGAAAUACUGACCUUCUCGCAUUUGGUUUCUAACUCCAAGGUGGAGGACACUGCUUGGCGGGUAGUUUGACUGGGGUGGUCGCCUCCAAAAGAGUAACGGAGGCUUCUAAAGGUGCGCUCAGGCCGAUUGGUAACCGGCCGCAGAGUGUAAUGGCACAAGCGCGCUUGACUGGGAGGCCGACAAGCCGAUCAGGUAGGAAACUAGAGCAUAGUGAUCCGGUGGUUCCGCAUGGAAGGGCCAUCGCUCAAAGGAUAAAAGGUACUCCGGGGAUAACAGGCUGAUCCCUCCCAAGAGCUCAUAUCGACGGAGUGGUUUGGCACCUCGAUGUCGGCUCGUCACAUCCCGGGGCUGGAGAAGGUCCCAAGGGUUAGGCUGUUCGCCUAUUAAAGUGGCACGCGAGCUGGGUUCAGAACGUCGUGAGACAGUUCGGUCUCUAUCUGUUGUGGGCGCAGGAGAUUUGCGAGGACCCGACACUAGUACGAGAGGACCGUGUUGGACAGACCUCCGGUGUAUCGGUUGUUCCGCCAGGAGCACAGCCGAGUAGCCGCGUCUGGCAAGGAUAAGUGCUGAAAGCAUCUAAGCACGAAGCCCCCCUCAAGAUAAGAUCUCCACACAAGGGCCGUCAAAGACGAUGACGUAGAUAGGUCGCAGGUGUAAGUGCGGUAACGUACCAGCCGAGCGAUACUAAUCGCCCAAACCCUUUCCG
rnacentral:rRNA from 1 species